UACAGAGGUGGCAAGCGUUGUUCGGAAUCACUGGGCGUAAAGGGCGCGUAGGCGGCCUGAUAAGUAGGGGGUGAAAUCCUGCGGCUUAACCGCAGGGCUGCCUUCUAAACUGUCAGGCUCGAGCACAGUAGAGGCAGGUGGAAUUCCCGGUGUAGCGGUGGAAUGCGUAGAGAUCGGGAAGAACAUCAGUGGCGAAGGCGGCCUGCUGGGCUGUUGCUGACGCUGAGGCGCGACAGCGUGGGGAGCAAACAGG
rnacentral:rRNA from 1 species